rnacentral:rRNA from 1 species
UACGUAGGGUGCGAGCGUUAAUCGGAAUUACUGGGCGUAAAGCGUGCGUAGGUGGUGAGUUAAGUCUGUCGUGAAAGCCCCGGGCUCAACCUGGGAAUGGCGAUGGAUACUGGCUCGCUAGAGUGCGGUAGAGGAGAGUGGAAUUCCCGGUGUAGCAGUGAAAUGCGUAGAGAUCGGGAGGAACAUCAGUUGCGAAGGCGGCUCUCUGGACCAGCACUGACACUGAGGCACGAAAGCGUGGGUAGCAAACAGG